rnacentral:rRNA from 1 species
AGAGCGAACGCUGGCGGCAGGCUUAACACAUGCAAGUCGAACGGGCGUAGCAAUACGUCAGUGGCAGACGGGUGAGUAACGCGUGGGAACGUACCUUUUGGUUCGGAACAACACAGGGAAACUUGUGCUAAUACCGGAUAAGCCCUUACGGGGAAAGAUUUAUCGCCGAAAGAUCGGCCCGCGUCUGAUUAGCUAGUUGGUAGGGUAACGGCCUACCAAGGCGACGAUCAGUAGCUGGUCUGAGAGGAUGAUCAGCCACAUUGGGACUGAGACACGGCCCAAACUCCUACGGGAGGCAGCAGUGGGGAAUAUUGGACAAUGGGCGAAAGCCUGAUCCAGCCAUGCCGCGUGAGUGAUGAAGGCCCUAGGGUUGUAAAGCUCUUUUGUGCGGGAAGAUAAUGACGGUACCGCAAGAAUAAGCCCGGCUAACUUCGUGCCAGCAGCCGC